AGUAGCUCCAUGCAACCUCCCACUUCUAAUCUUUUUGAAGAAUGUGAACAGUACCAUUCACUGGGAAAAAAUGUAACCAAGAGAGUUCUGCAGUGUUGUUAAUUUCUGCUGGAUAUUCAUAGUAGAAUUGUACUUUUAAAUUUUGUAUGCAUGUGAAAAGUCUUCAUUUGAAAGUUUGCUAAGCAACAAAUCCUUCAAAUAGAACAGCUUCAACUCUGCUCUGCCUUGAAAGCACACAUUCAUGAAGAAACUGGAGAGCUGCUUCAUCAGUGCCAAUCCAGUCUGUGGUUGGUCUCAUGAAAAGGCUCUUACUGAUGAAUUGGUGCAGCUACCCUCCCAGACAUGGAAGAAUACCUCAUACAAAAAAAUCCAUAGGUGACUAAUAGGUGUGGCAGACACCAGCCCUGAAGGUACAUGAAGAAUGUCCCCCAAACUGGCAUCUGAUACUGUUCCCUGCAUUGGAUCCUGUUAGCAGGGAAACAAGUGAGGCGUCUCUGACCUCCCAGUGUUCAGGACAAACCACAAAUAACCCCUGAAGGCAGGAGGAGGGACAGGACAGAAU
rnacentral:lncRNA from 1 species